rnacentral:rRNA from 1 species
GUCCACGCCGUAAACGAUGAAUGCCAGCCGUUGGGGUGCAUGCACCUCAGUGGCGCAGCUAACGCUUUAAGCAUUCCGCCUGGGGAGUACGGUCGCAAGAUUAAAACUCAAAGGAAUUGACGGGGCCCGCACAAGCGGUGGAGCAUGUGGUUUAAUUCGAAGCAACGCGCAGAACCUUACCAGCUUUUGACAUGUCCGGUUUGAGGAACAGAGAUGUACCUCUUCAGUUCGGCUGGCCGGAACACAGGUGCUGCAUGGCUGUCGU